rnacentral:rRNA from 1 species
GAUGAACGCUAGCUACAGGCUUAACACAUGCAAGUCGAGGGGAAACGGCAUUGAGUGCUUGCACUCUUUGGACGUCGACCGGCGCACGGGUGAGUAACGCGUAUCCAACCUUCCCAUUACUGUGGGAUAACCUGCCGAAAGGCAGACUAAUACCGCAUAGUCUUCGAUGACGGCAUCAGAUUUGAAGUAAAGAUUCAUCGGUAAUGGAUGGGGAUGCGUCUGAUUAGCUUGUUGGCGGGGUAACGGCCCACCAAGGCAACGAUCAGUAGGGGUUCUGAGAGGAAGGUCCCCCACAUUGGAACUGAGACACGGUCCAAACUCCUACGGGAGGCAGCAGUGAGGAAUAUUGGUCAAUGGACGGAAGUCUGAACCAGCCAAGUAGCGUGCAGGAUGACGGCCCUAUGGGUUGUAAACUGCUUUUGUAUGGGGAUAAAGUUAGGGACGUGUCCCUAUUUGCAGGUACCAUACGAAUAAGGACCGGCUAAUUCCGUGCCAGCAGCCGCGGUAAUACGGAAGGUCCAGGCGUUAUCCGGAUUUAUUGGGUUUAAAGGGAGCGUAGGCUGGAGAUUAAGUGUGUUGUGAAAUGUAGACGCUCAACGUCUGAAUUGCAGCGCAUACUGGUUUCCUUGAGUACGCACAACGUUGGCGGAAUUCGUCGUGUAGCGGUGAAAUGCUUAGAUAUGACGAAGAACUCCGAUUGCGAAGGCAGCUGACGGGAGCGCAACUGACGCUUAAGCUCGAAGGUGCGGGUAUCAAACAGG